AUUGAACGCUGGCGGCAUGCUUUACACAUGCAAGUCGAACGGUAACAGGCCGCAAGGUGCUGACGAGUGGCGAACGGGUGAGUAAUGCAUCGGAACGUGCCCAGUCGUGGGGGAUAACGCAGCGAAAGCUGCGCUAAUACCGCGUACGAUCUGUGGAUGAAAGCGGGGGACCGUAAGGCCUCGCGCGAUUGGAGCGGCCGAUGUCAGAUUAGGUAGUUGGUGGGGUAAAGGCCCACCAAGCCAACGAUCUGUAGCUGGUCUGAGAGGACGACCAGCCACACUGGGACUGAGACACGGCCCAGACUCCUACGGGAGGCAGCAGUGGGGAAUUUUGGACAAUGGGCGCAAGCCUGAUCCAGCAAUGCCGCGUGCAGGAAGAAGGCCUUCGGGUUGUAAACUGCUUUUGUACGGAACGAAACGGUUCUCUCUAAUACAGAGGGCUAAUGACGGUACCGUAAGAAUAAGCACCGGCUAACUACGUGCCAGCCGCCGCCGUAAGAC
rnacentral:rRNA from 1 species